ensembl:lncRNA
AGUAACCUCCGACCUCACAACGUGCCGCGCGAAAGAAGUCCGGUAGCGAAGAAGAGAAGGAGAAGGAUAACUUUGCUAACAAACAUGCCGGAGGCACACAAACGAAUACGAAUCGACAACAUGAAUGUGGUAGAUCAUCUAUUGGAGCACAGAUUUGAGACCCUUAUUCUGGAGGAAAAUGUUUGAGGAAUCCAUCUGUGCCGCCCAGUUGAUCACCGAGGACGAGGGCUUGGGUCGGCUGGCCCACACGGUGCAAGUCUUGGUGGACCUUGCGCCGACUGCUGCCAGCCACCGCCGCGCUAGCAGACCGGAGCCGCUAGGGGCGGACAGGCUAAGCACUGCUCCAUCCUUCUCUUGAAAGUUAAAGAUGGAUUUCUAAAAACAGGCGUUUAGUUCGAUUUUUUUGGUUUUCAAGGAGGCCUAUAUAAAUUAUGGGAAGUGGAAGUCGAGCAACUUGUUUUAAAGUUGAUUCAUAGUUUUUUUUUGUUAGGAUCUUUAACUUUAAACAUUUUUUUACUCGUCAAACAUCUAAUUAUCAUGCAAUAGGCCUAUCUCACAAAAAUCGGAAAUGACGUCACACCGGGUAAACAUUCUUCCGGCAAAGUCAUUUCAGCUGUUGGCAUCAACACAAAAAUGCAGCGUUUCUUCGCCACUUCCCUGGUGGGUUUUCCAAAAUUACGAUUUGAAGAUGUGCAGAAGAUUGUGGAGUCACACUCAGCAACACCACAGUCCAGGCUGAGAAAGGGGUACAAGUUCUUUGUGGAGGAGUUCGUACACAAUUAUCAAGCAGACAUUAUAGCAAGAAUUUAAGAACAAUGUACCUUUGAAUAAAUCACCCUGGAGGCUGUUGGACAACUUGGUCCCUCAGAGCACAGUAGCUGUGCUGCGGGCAAAGGCUUCUGUAGCCAUGUAACCGCUCUGCUCUUCCAGACAGCGCAUUAUGUGCAGCUGGGCCUUGAGGUGGUUCCACCUUCCCUGGUCUGUACCAGUCAACCACAGAUGUGGCAUCAACCUAGAACACAGGGAAUCCAUCCGGAGGCUGUGAGUGACAUUGUGGUGAAAAAAAGCCAAGUCAGUGGGGAAGAGUCAAGUACACACUCUACAGAGCGUAUGCUGCUAAGACAUUUUUUUUGCAAUUUGCACUCUGUUAAACUUCCUCAUUAUGACAAGAUGCAUAUUAGAAUAUAUCUGUUAUCACUACAAUAUUAAAAAAAACAGUCCCAUUUUUAUUUGACGUUUCCUCUAGGGCCCCUACCAGAACAACACAUCUUGGUGUCGGGAGCAAAGCUGAGUGAGAUUCACCCCUCGCCCUUUGAUGUCCCAAAUCCUAGAGGGAAUAUCCAGCUUGGAGUUGGUUCCAUCUCAGCUGUGCUGACCUGGAAGAUGUCAGCAAUGACCUGUUCUUUAAGGCCAGUUGCUACUCUACAACAGUAGAUGACAAACUCAUCAAUGACUGGAAUCUUCCUUGAAGGCCUUGGUGUUGGAAUCGCCUCUUGUCCAAUCCUCUGUGCUUUGCUCCAAUAAACAAUAUAUUGUGUUGAGGGGCAAACAGACUCCCAAAACACUUGAAACACUCUGUUGAGGACAGUUUGUGGCCCCAUGGACAUUUCUUGCAGCCUUGCCUCCAGCUCAGCAAUAUACUCCAGGGCAUCAUCCAGUGCACCUACAAAAAAUUAAGACAAAUCGGUCUUCAUUACCAUUCAUUAGUAUUCAUACUUUAUUUUUAUUGUAUUGUUAUUCGGUAUACUUAACCGUAUAUUUAUUAUUUAUUUAUUUGUACUGUUUUCUGUUUUUCUUUUUUAUAUAUUAACAAUAAGUUAAAUGUUGUGUGUUGUACAUAGAGAGCAAAAACCAAAGUCAAAUUCCUCGUUUGUUCGCAAACCUGGCCAAUAAAGCUGAAUCUGAAUCUGAAUUAAUAUGCAACCCCAGUUUAACAGUACGUCUGAUGUUGAUUGAAUGUUUUAACGUUAACCAUGCCAUGUUUGGCAAAAGUAUACAAUAGCCCAACAAGUGUUGAACACAAAUAACAGACACGUUCGAGUACCUGUUUGGGGUGCCCCCUUCUUGGUGGCCGUGUGAGCGGGGACUCGAACCUGAGUCUACAGAGUGUUAGCCAACACUCUUACCGCUGCAUCACCAAGACGCCGACUAGAACAUUCCCGGAAGACCUACUUGACUUUACAAUUCAGCAGACUUAGAAAUAAUAGACUCAAUUUAACACAAUGCCAUUGACAUUCCCAGGACCUAAGCCCCAGUCUCCGGAUUGAAAAUCACAAGCUCUCCCUGCAGCACCAGACACAGUGGCGUCACUAGGCUGUUUUAUUCGGGGCUAAAGCCCCGGAUCUAAUUUGAUUAGCCCCGAAUCUUUUUUCUUAAAAAAAGAAAAGAAAAAAAUAUUGUAUAUAUAUUUUUAUUUUGCUGCAUGCAGAGCCUGUGCCAUAUCCGCACGUCGCACAUGCUCCCAUUUGUUGGGACUCUUGCGUAGCUUACUGCUAGGAAUUUCUGUUCUACUGUUCUUCUGUUCUCAAGAUUUUAAGCCAUGAAUUGAUGAACUUGCAUUGAAGAAAAUAUGUCAGUUUUCUGUGGGCUGUAAAUAGGCCAAUGA